AGAUGAUGAUGCGGGAAACUUCAUUAGAACUCCUCAAAACUAUCCCACGCUUCAUAUAUAGAUUCCCCAUCAAUUGAAGGAAGUCGAUGAUCUCUUUGGUCAACCU